rnacentral:rRNA from 1 species
UACGAAGGGGGGCUAGCGUUGCUCGGAAUCACUGGGCGUAAAGCGCACGUAGGCGGUCUUUUAAGUCAGGGGUGAAAUCCUGGAGCUCAACUCCAGAACUGCCUUUGAUACUGGGAGACUUGAGUCCGGGAGAGGUGAGUGGAACUGCGAGUGUAGAGGUGAAAUUCGUAGAUAUUCGCAAGAACACCAGUGGCGAAGGCGGCUCACUGGCCCGGUACUGACGCUGAGGUGCGAAAGCGUGGGGAGCAAACAGGG